AUGUGGAUCAACAAGACCGCUGUCCUGAAGUGCACCAUUAUCUGUACUGAUCCGAGCAAGGUCCACAUCUCUUGGGAGGUGAGCGGGAAGGACAGAACUAAAGAAGCUGUGACCCGACCACCGGAGAGGGAAGGGAUCCGAAACACAGUGAUCAGUGAACUCCGGACCAGUGUGGAGGAGUGGUUCAGUGGGGUGGAGUACGUGUGCUCUGCCCAGCAACCUUCUUCACCCUCAACAGUGUCAGCGCGGACAAAAAGUACCAAAGUCAAGACAAAGGGUCCCAAGGUCAGACUGCUGCCUCCACUACAGGAAGAGACCAAGAAUAGAAACACAGCCACCUUCGAGUGUGUGGUCUCUGGAUUCUACCCCAAUCGCAUCAGCGUCACUUGGGAGAAAGGCAGCUCUGUGGUCACCUCCAACACCAGUGCUACACCGACUGCUCUGGAGCAGGGGGGUACUUUCAGUGCCAGCUACUUCCUGACUGUGAGCUUACAGGAGUGGAAGUCAGACUCCGUCUUCAGCUGCACAGUGACAUAUUUCCCCUCCAAUUCCCUUAUCAAGAAGCAACUGAAAAACAUCCAAGAUGAAUGUUCAGAUACCUGCCCCUCAGUCACUUUAAGCAAACCUUCCUUCGAAGAGAUCUGGACUAACAGGACGGUGACCAUUCUGUGUAUGGUGGUUCACAGUGAUUUACAGAAAUUCAGGGCAACCUGGCAGGUGGACGGAAGGAGGAGAGAAGGUGGGGUGAGGACUCAAGGUCCACACAGCGACAGAGGUGAAGACACGAUCACCAGCAGACUGACAGUCCCUGCUGCAGAGUGGGACAGUGGGGCUGAGUACUUGUGUCGGGUGGAGGACAAGAGUUUGCCAACGCUGGAGAAGAGAUCCAUCAAGAAGGACACAGAGAUCUACGUGGCCUGGAUGGCCAUCGACACCCUUCUGAAGACAGGGUUCAUGAACCAGCUGGUGACCAAGGACAUCAGAAACGGCUGGAACACAAUGACCAAAUUGUCUGUCUUUAUCCAAAAUCCCUCCACUGAAGAGAUUUGGAUCAACAAGACCACUACUCUGGUGUGCAUGGUUGUGGGUGCUGAUCUGAGCCAGGUUCAAAUCUACUGGCAGGUGAGCGAGAGGGAGAAAAUUAAAGGAAAUGUGACCAAAAAACUGAGAGAGGAAGGGACCCAAGAUGCAGCAAUCAGCCAACUCCAGACCAGUGUGGAGGAGAGGUCCAGUGGGGUGGAGUACAUGUGCUCCGCCCAACAACCUUCUUCAUCCUCAGCAGUAUCAGCGCGGACAAAAAGUACCAAAGUGGAGACAAAAAGUCCCGAGGUCAGACUGCUGCCUCCACCACACGAAGGGACCAAGAGUAGGAACAUAGCCACCCUCGAGUGUGUGGUCUCUGGAUUCUACCCGGACCUCAUAAACGUCACCUCGGAGAAAGACGGCUCCCUGAUCUCCUCCAACACCAAAUCCUGCACAGACUCAACAGGAGAGGAGGGGAAAGAAGAACUGGGAGACUUGGAUGGAGAUGACAAUGUGCUUACAGUUGCUGCCUUUGCCAUUCUGUUUGUUAUCAGUUUCCUCUACAGCACCUUCGUCACCAUUGUCAAGGUAACCAAAUGA